rnacentral:lncRNA from 1 species
AGAAAAAGAAAGAAAGAAAGAAAGAAAGAAAGAAAGAAAGAAAGAAAGAAAGAAAGAAAGAAAGAAAGAAAGAAAGAAAGAAAGAAAGAAAGAAAGAAAGAAAGAAAGAAAGAAAGAAAGAAAGAAAGAAAGAAAGAAAGAAAGAAAGGAGAAGCCUGUUUGGAACCACAAUUUUAGGGUGUACAGAAGUGUACAGCUCCUUUUGGAGUGGGGCUGGAAUGGGGUCUCAUUUAAGCAACAGAGAUGAAAAAAAAUAAGCUUGGAUUUUCCUUUUUUUUUUUUCAUGCAUAAUAAUAAUUCUGGGAUUGAAUAUAGCUGGUUGUAUGUAUUUAAUUUUUCCCCUCUAUUUGUAUAUUAAUAUAAUUCUUGUUUAAUCUCUUGACAUUUUAGAUGUAAGAAAUCUUGUAGAAAAUAUAAUUACUGAAGGAUUGCUGCCUCUGUACUUACAGUUUUGUACUUUGGAGGGUUUUUUUUCAUCACAUCCUGACUGUGUUGUGAUGCAGAGCAUAUGUUACUGACAUGAGUGCACUGAGGUCACCACAGCCAUUGCUGAGCUCCUAUUUAUGUAUUUUUAAAAGGAGAAGAGAGGGGAAGAAGUUGAACUGUUUGCUGCCAUGCUGCUGUUACGACCUGUUUCGAAGAAACUUCCAUAUGGUAUUUCUGGCUCUAGCCCUUCAGGUUGACUCUCUUGUCCCUGCCCUGAGUCACCGGUGGCACACGUGGCAUGGACGGACGGCGUGAGCAAUGUGGGCUUGGGCAGCAUCUGGCACAUUGGACUCUUUUUCGUUUCACUGCAAAUGGACAGCAGGCAGUCCCUGCAUGGAUAGCACUCACUGUCAGGAGACAAUUAUUUUCUCAGAAGACUUUCUACGUGACUUAUAUGCAAACCAUGAGGGUGGCAUCAUCUCCAGAUUACACACAGGAACUGAGACCCGUGUCAGAAGUGUCCAUGUUGUGUGCGUUAACCAUUUUGGAUGGACAGCUUGAGAUGCUGAGGACCCAGCUUUUGGAGCAGCUGACAUUAUUUGGCACUUUCUCUAAUCAAAGCCAGGUAACCCAAGGUAGACCACUGGGUGGAAACUUUUCCGUGCCUCCUGAGACCUCCUAACUAGCCUGAAACGCAGGGAAGUACUUCUAGCAGCUUCAGAAGCCUUGAAAUUCGCCACUGCCACAACCCACGUCGUGCAGCUGCGAUGCCUGCAGUCUGUUCCACCCAGCCCAUCUGCCACGGAAAGGGAAACUUCAAGAGGCAGAAGUGUGAGAAUGGUAGCUAACGGUCCUGCUGUAGGAGGCAGCUGAACCAGCAGGACUUCGCUGCAACCCUUUAAUUAUAAGCUCCCAAGUUAACACAGUUACUUCUGUAAGAUGUACCUGUGGUAACAUGGUAUGUGAUAGGUAAAAAGGCAAAUAAAUAGAAAAUAUAAAUGCUGUUAUUUAUUCA